rnacentral:lncRNA from 1 species
GAGGCAAUGCCUCGCCCUGCUUCGGCUCGCGCACGGUGCGCGCACCCACUGACCUGCGCCCACUGUCUGGCACUCCCUAGUGAGAUGAACCCGGUACCUCAGAUGGAAAUGCAGAAAUCACCCGUCUUCUGCGUCGCUCACGCUGGGAGCUGUAGACCGGAGCUGUUCCUAUUCGGCCAUCUUGGCUCCUCCUCGAAAUGGCAAGGCAUAUGGUUAAUAAAACAUAUUGAGGAUGAAUGAGAAAACAACCUGGUUCCUGGAAGGAGAGAAACAAGGUGGAGUUUUCUCACAGAAACAAGGAGAAGGUCAGAGAGACCUCCGGGAGCAUCUCAUCUUGGAGACAACACAAGCUCAGGAGGCUGCAUCAGCGUUUCUUAUUGGAGGCAUUUUCUUUUCCUCCAGAUUUUGUUUUUGACUGUUAAGGUCAUAGCUACAAACAAUUGAUCAAGCCUAAAAGGGCAUUUAUAAACCACCUACAUCUACAUUUUUUUCUUACUGUGGAUGGAUUUAAAAAGCCAUUUCAAGAUGAAAUCUUACGAGUCAUUUUCACGUCUUCUGAGGGCUGAGAU